rnacentral:tRNA from 1 species
AAGAAAAUGACAGAGUGGGGAUGUGCCUGGCUUGAAACCAGAUAACGGGGGUUCAAUUCCCUCUUUUCUUG